UUUUUUUUUUGUGAUUUUUUUGACUCUAAUUUCCUUGACACUCUUUUCUUCCUUCUUGGACAUAUUUUUCUCUCUUUUUUUUUCUUUGAAAAUUUUUUACUCUAUUCUCUUGCUCGAUACUUUUAUUUUGAGCUUUGCUAGCUUUAUCUUGAUUCCAAAAGAGGGGUAUAAAAGAAAAUAACACUAAGGAUCAAAUGAGGUAAACAAAGGAUAACACAAUGAGUUUGGAUAGCAGAAUAAAAUACCUUCAUCAUAUCAAUCCUUGAAAAUAUUAGUACAUAGCAUACAAUGUGAAAGUGCACGAUCAACAUCAUUUAUGACAUAUUUUACAACACUAACUUGCCCCGAACAUGUGUGUCACCUCUUUUUCUAUACUUUUCAAACAUUCAACUCCACCUUUGUUAUAUAUCCAUCACAUUGAAUGACUCAUGCUUUCGUGGAGUUGAUUUUCUUUCUAUUCCUCUUGAUAGGAUCACGCAGACACAGUUUGACCUAAUUAAGACAUGUUUUUCAAUUGAUGACCAAGUUAUUCUUGUGAUUCUAAAAAUAAUUGCAAUAAUUUUCAAAGAAGGUUUGAACUUGUCACCAAAUGUCUCAGCACUCUACCUAUUUUCUCAGAUUCUCUCUUUUCUAACUUUAACCCUCUGAUUCAAUGUUCAUACUUAAACUAGAUUUUAAGAUCUGACUGAAAAUUCCGCAGGCAUGUCAUAUCACUAGAAUCAACAUAAAAUGUACUAUAUAAAGAAAACAAACAAACAACACAUAUUUGAAACAUAAAAGUAAAGGGACACUUCAUUUAGUAAAAAUAAAAGAUAAAGGGGUUUAAACAUAAACAAAAAAGGGACAAAACAAGAUAGAUCCUGAACUACAACCCUGAAAUACUUUAGAAAAUAGAAAAAAAAACAAAACAAACUACCACACCUUUUCCCAGUAGGGAGAGAGGUGACUUCUCAAUUGCUCAGCCUGACAACUUAGCCACUAGUUUGUAUAUCAACAUGACUAGAGUUUCCCUCAGUGUCAAUGUUCUGCACUAUAAUCGAUCCAUCUUGAAUCAUAUUUUCAAUUUCUCUUUUCAAAUCUCGAUAAUAUUCAAUACUAUGACCCUGAGCAUCAGAAUGAUAUGCAUAUUGUACAUUAGGGUCAAAAUUUUGUGAACGCUGAUUAAGAGUGCACCCAAAGAAAGAAGUGAUCAUACCCCAUUGUACCAAUCUCUGAGAUGACUCUGAGGAGUUGGUGUGUUCCACUGUGGGUAAUAUGGGGGUUGAAUAUGUGGCUGUGCAUUAUAUACUGAAUAUGGAGGGGGAGGAGUAGAGUAUAAUGGAUUUUGGGAGUGAUUAUGUGAAUCUUGGGCAUGAACUUGGGUUUGUACCUAAGAGUGAUGACGAUAGGGUCUUCUUAACCAUGCCCGCUGUCCAACUACAAUAGAAGAUGCAUCUUUCUCAUUCUUUGUCUCCCCAAUAAUUCCUGAACCCUUUUGAAUUGCUUGAGUUGUCAUUUUCAAUGUUCCAAAACUCAUAACGUGACCAGUCUUAAUUCCCUCUUCUAUUAUCUCCCCCAUUUUAAGGACCUCAAUAAAUGAUUUGCCUAAUACUGGUAACAAGUGUUGAUAAUAUGUUUCAUCCUGCGCUUGAAUAAACACCUCCACUAUUUUUUCUUUCAUUGGCGAUUUUCCUCUAGCAUCUUAUUCGCGCCAUUUGAUCGCAAAAUCCCUGAAACUCUUAGUAUUCUUUUUUAUACUAGUUAGGGAUUUUUCGUCAGGGAUCAACUCCACAUUGUAUUGAAAUUGUUGCACAAAUUCAUUAGCUAGGUCAUCCCAGCUAAUCCACUUGUCAAUGUCUUGGUUAAAAAACUAUUUCGAAGCUAGGCCUGAAAGACUCUCCCCGAAAUAAGCCAUGAGUAGUUCUUCCUUCCCUACAACGCCUCCUAAUUGGUUACAAUAGCACCUCAAAUAUGCCACUGGGUCCCCAUGUCCAUCAUAUUUCUCAAACUUUGGUAUUUUAAAGCCAGGGAGAAGGUUGACACCUGGAAACAUGCAUAAGUCUUUAUAUGAGAUACUUUUGUAACCCCCAAGUCCUUGCAAGUUCUUCAUAGAUAGUUCUAAACUUCUCAAUUUUCUGAUCAUUUUCUCUUGUUCUUCUGUCAUAACAAGCUUCUCAGUGUUAGGAGGAAAUUCAAGCAGGUGAGUGUCAACGUAAAGAUCAAUCAACUUGAAUGUAGGCUUAGAAGUGUAACGCUGAUCACCGGUAAUAUUUAAUACAGGCUCUCUUGUAGAGUAGGGAGGAACAAAUUGUGGAUGAACAUCAAAAGUAGAAGCUUCAGAUAGGGGUGGCGCUGGAAAAGAAUGAACAACAGGUGGAGCCAAGUAUGUGGUAGUCUUAGAUUUGGGAGUGAGGAAAUGAACAUUGGAUGUGGUUGGAUAUUGUUGCCCCAGAGUCGAUCCUGAUACAUGUUGUGGCAUAUCAACAAAAAUAGAAAAUUGUGCAUGUGACACAGAAGGCAAGUUAGAAAGAUAUUCCAGAUUAUCAGUGGAAACUGGGGAAGUCGGCAACCUAUUAUCCCAAGCUCGAUGCAUUUCUAUCAUUUGCUGCCUUAAUUUUUGAAUUUCUUCAUUGGCUCUUAAAUUCUCAUUUCCCGAACUCCCUAUCUGAUUAGUGACAACAAAAUCGGUAUCCUUGUUGGCCAUAAAUUUCUCUAUGACUUGGUACACUAUGAAGGACUAGCCCAAAGGCCACAAACCAACCACCUUAACUAACUGAACAAGAGAUAGCAAAUGUGUUAGAGUUCAACCAUUUUUCAAAACUUUUUCUGAUUUUCUUUUGAAAAGAUCACCGAACCCAAGAAGGGCGACUACGUAUCUCACUCCAGAGAGAAGAGAAUUAGGUGUGCGUAGUUCGUGAAGUUUUGCCAAAAUGGCCAACCAAGCUCUUUUUCCUUUCUUUUCUUCUUUUUCUUGAAACUUUAAAAAGAAAAGGAAAUAACAAAUUGUCAAAAGAAUUGACAAAAAUCUUUCUGCAUUUUUCUCGUUUAAAAUUCCUAUACAAAAUGAAACCUAUGAUUACCAAAGAAAAAUCUUUUUGUGUUUUCAAUUUUGAAUUUCAUAUGAAAAUGAAACUUGAACCUAUUAAAGAAAAAUCUUUUUGUAAUUUUCUUUUAAAAAUGUAUAUGAAAGACUUACUCUAAAUAAAGAGUGAAGAAAAUUUUUUUGGAUUUUUUUGAAAUAAGAUCCCCGAACCCACAAUAGGCUGCCUAUAUAUCUCACUCCCGAGAGAGGAGAAUCAGGGGUGCAUAAUUCGUCCAGAUUGGACAAUUAAGGAUUAGGUAACAAACUAAAUCUUAACUUGAGUGACACGAUUACAGAUAGACGAUGAAAGUAAAAUAUUUUUUUGAUUUUUUAAUUUGACACUUCAUACAAAAAUGACACCAACAACUAUGAAAGAAAAAUCUUUUUUUUUAAUAUUUUUGAUAUGAAAUAUACAAAAAUUCUACCAUUUUUCAUUUUCUUUUAUAAAAAAUACUAAAAAAUCUUUUUUGAAAAUUUCGAAUUAUGAAUGCAUGCUAAAGGAGACAAAGCGAGAAAUCUUUUUAAUGUUUUGGUUUUUGAACAAAUGAGUGCUGAAAAUAAAGAAAUCUUUUUGAAUUUUUGAAUUGUGAAAAACAAAAGUCAUAAAGAACACUAAAAGCUAUGUAACUCUUUUUUUUCAAAUGGUUUCUUGUCUACAUACUUUACUUUUAACACAUGUUUUUCCCAAAUCAGUCUAUUAAAUGACCAUGUUACACUCAAAGAUGCAACAUUUAGCACGUAGGGAUGCUUUAGAGGUGAGUCUCCUACAAAGAGCCAAGUGGGCCCCGCUAGGUCUUUAAUAUGAUGCACAUAAGCAUGAACCAAAGGCUGACCUACAUUGGGGUUCACUAACAAGGCUGUUCGGGGGAGCGUAUGGUCGAUAGUGACUGUUUUGCUUUCCACCUACUCCAUAACACCGACGGAUCCCCCCUAAAAUAAGGGUGACUCAACUAUAGGUCAUGUACAACACGUGUACUGUGGACUUAUUGCAGAAAGAAUGACUUAGGUUAUGCACAUGAUGUCGGAUAUAAAGCGGUAACACAUAAGAUAAAAACUGUAAACAAAGAGCACAUAGGCACUCAACAGUAAUAAUACAAUAAUACAAAAUAACACAAAUAAAAUGUCCAUACACCUAUAGUGAAAAACUAAGCCGAUACAACUUCAAAAUAAGCUCGAAUUCUAAAAUAGUCCCCAGCAGAGUCAUCAGAGCUAUCCUAUUCUAAACUAAUCCUAGACUAAUGCUCUAUCCGACGCUUUGGGCCUUCAUCACAAACGUUCUCCAGGUAAAAAAUACUUUGUGUCAUUCCCCAGUGAAUAAACACAAAUAUCUCGGGGCAUUACCCGGCCAAAUGAUACUUUGAUCCAAAAAAACCAUAAAAACAAGUCAUUCAACACACAAUUUUCAACAUUCAAAUUCGACAAGUUCUAAAUUUGCCUACCCGACCCUACUAUUUGCCUAUUUAUUUCAAUAUGCCAUAAUUCUAUCACGUUCCAAUGACAUUCAUGCUUAUUUAAACGAAACAAUAGUAAACCAAAAGAAAUCUAAAUUCACAUUUUUAUCAAUUUCUCAAUCCCACCCCCAAAUUCAUUCUCAACCCUAAUUUUGGUAUCCAAUUACCAAUUUCAAUUAUUCAACCAGAUAUUAUUUUCAUCCAAUUUGUGCCAUUCAAAGUCAAUCAUUCAAUACAACAUAUAUCAAGCAACAAAUCACCCGAUAGAACAAACACAUCAAAACACCUUCAUAAUCAUAUAAAAAUAAAAUAAUAGAGAUGAAGAGUGGACCUCAAAAGCUUUUUUGAUUCAAAUAUUAUUUGGAUGAAAAGAAUAAAUUUGUAUUCCAAAUCCGCGAAUUAAACCUCAACCAAAGAGCAGAACCUCAACAACACCAAACUCGACCCCAAAUCUCGCAACUCUAGACGUUGACAAGCAAAAUUCAAUCGGCAAAGACCGAGAUGAAGAGAUGGGAUUUUGAUCCUAAAAAUAAAAGAAACAGGGGGCUAGGCUCGAUUAAUUGGCUAUGUUGUUGCUAUUUUGACAUUUUCGGAUGGGAUGGGACUGGCAGCUUCACGAAAGUCGAAGUAAACUAUCAAUUUGGCCAACUUGCUAGCUGAACUGAAGUUUUCAGGCAGAAUUUCACUAGAGAACAUCUUUUCUGAUUCACCCCUUGUUUCUCUCUCUUUCCCCCUCUCUAAUAACUAGUGUGCAUAUGAAUUUCAAUCAACUAUGUGUGGGAUUCUCUUCUUUUCAGUGAGUGUCUUCAAUGUGUAUUGUGAAUAGAUGGGAAUCGGGUGCUUAUGAAGAAAAAAGUGGUUUGUGCUUAUUGUGUUUGGUGUAUUCUGUGAGUAGUUAUGAAGGAUAGAAGAUUAUUUUGGUGAGGUUUUUCCACCUCUGGUUCGUAUUACGUAUUGCUAUAUAUAGAGGUCCCUUUUUGGAUCCUUUCCAGGAAGGUUCCUAGUGGGGGCCUUGUGGAAUUGUCCCUUUUUUUACCUUUUUUUUAUCAUAGUGUGGUGAAUAUGCUCUCUUUCUUUGUUGAAAAAAAAUGUGAAGGGGUUAAUGGAGUAAGAUGUAGGGUAUGUGGGGUAGAGUAAGUUAGUUAGGAUAAAAUUUGUUAGGAUGAUUAAAACAAGAUAAAAUUUGUUAGGGAGUUUGUUAUUUUUGUUUUUUUAUGGGAAAUUAUGGAAUGGAGUUGGAGUGCGUGGUAAGAUUAGUAAAAUGAAUAAAAUUUGACUUCAGAAGGAACAAAAUUAGGUGUCUACAAAUAAUACUAUGUGUUGGGGAUUUCAUGAAGCACAUAGUUAUCAUAAUUUUGUACAUGGAUAGGAAUGCAUAUAAUCAUGUCAUAAGUUCAUACUAUAAUAUCAUGAGCAUUCCAAAAAACAUCUACAAUGCACAAUAAUCAGACGGUAAUUGGGAUUCAUACUUGAACUGAAUGUUGGUUCUGACAACUAAGGUUUAGACUGGUAUGAAGUACUGAAUUUUGAUAGCUAAGUAACUGAUAAUUGAAAGCCAUGGUCUUGUAGGACUUUGAGUCCUUUACUGAAUAUCGAUUACUGAACUAAUGUUGUAACUUAGGCUUGAGGAAUGAAACAUCGACACCACGGAUUCAUCGAGGGAUCUAUGCUGAAGGUUUUGUGACAUGAUCUGAGUUUUGUUGAUCACUAAGAGUGGAUGAUGAGCUACGUAAGCUGGGUAAUCUAUACAACAUGACAUAAGUGUAUGAGUCAUGAGCUACAUGACCUGAGUCAGAAGUUUCUGUACUCAUAGAACAGGUUUUGAAAUCACAGAGUAAACUAGAACUCUUCAUACUAGGAAUUGGAAACACAUAUAAUUCUAUGGAAGGUGUGUGAAUGUAAGUUGUGUUCAUGGAACAUGAUUCAUAUUGUGGAGUAAACUCAGACUCCUUAUACUGGGAGAUGAAAUCCUACAUGAUUUUCACUAACGUGCACAAAUAUAUGCGAUGAUCAUGGAGCUGACAUGUAGGACAUGAAUAGAUAUCAUGGUAACUGGUGGGUUGUAAGGGUUGUUAGGAAAUAAGCUGACCUCUGAACGCUGAAGUACUACCCCUAUACUCUAGGAUGGGUUCAUUCAAAAACUGAAAUUGAACAAUUCUAUUUCUGCAGUCGACUGUGGCAUAGCAGAAAUGAAGCCAAUCUAUGCUGAGAAUGACAUCAAAAUCAGUUGUCUCUAAUUCAACUAAGUCUGCUGAAGUGACUUUCUGAUAUACCAUAAUCAGGCAGUUACUGUAUACCCACCGGGCUAUGAUGGUUUUACCCAGUAGGGUAGAUACAGAGAAUGGCUUUACUAGAAUUUAGGGACUGACUCCGAAAUCGGCUACUAUAUAAGGAGUAACAAAAUUCAAGGAAGCUCCUGGAUCUAGCAAAGCAUAAACAUGUGAGUGAAAGAUCUGUAACAUACCAAUGAUAACAUCAAUAGAAUUUUCCUGAUUAUGUCAGGACUGAAAAGCAGAUUGUCUGUCUGGGCGUUGACCACUGGUAGCACUGGAGGUGGCACCCUGCUGAUUUGGGUGACUGGACUGAACUGAAGGAUGGUUAUGUGGACUUCAAGGACCAAGCUUGGGACAGUCUCAGACUUUGUGACCCGACUUUCCAUAUACAAAAUACAUACCACUGCCGAUUUUACACAUAACCUUAUGGUUCUUUCCACAAGUCUGACAAAGGCGAUUGGUUCGAGCACUAUUAACACUGUCCUAAGGUCUAGGGCCUAAUGCUCUAUCUCUAAUGCCAUCUCUAAAUUUUGGCACUUGAGCAUUGGCUGAAGAAAGGGAUAGGACUAAAGAUUUUGGGCGGAACCAAAAACGAUAACCACCCUCUGACGUAGGCUGAUUAAAACUGAAGCUACCUGUAUAGCUCUCUUAUUUUCCCUCCUUCUUCUUUUCUUUCUGUAUUUCCCCACCUCAAUUUGUUAGGCAUGAAUCAUAUGCCUGUCAAUCAUAUGUAAUUGUAUUGUAUUAUUCUUUGAAUAUACUCUUCCGUUUCAUAUUAGUUGACCCAUAUUGACUUGACACACCUAUUAAGAAAAUAUUAAUUAGAAAUUUAUUUUAUCAAAUUAGCCUUAUUAAUUAUGAUUUAAAAAUAUAAAUUUGAAUAAAUACACUUUGUUUACUUAUUUAAUGUUAAGGGUAGUAUUGGAUCAAGAAAUACAAGAACUUAUUGAAAACGAAAAAAAAAAUAAUAAUAAUAAUUCCUAUUUCUACACAUACACGGUUUCCCCCUGCCAACAUGAAAUAGCUUUUCAAAUAUCUAUAUAUAUAAUACUUUCCCCGCCUCUAUUUUCUCCAUCUUAAACCCUUCUUCACCUUUCUUCUCUCUAGGGUUUUGUUGAUCCGUCUUCCUAUUAUGGCUAUCGAUAUCCUCAACAAGCGGCGCCAACUCACUGACGGGUCGGAAUUUGACGUCACUCAACGGCGGCGACUCAUCGACGAAUCGGAAAUUGACGUCAUUAUACGGCGGAUACUCAAGGACGAACCCGAAUUUGACGUUAUCACUGAUGACGACGACGACGAACAAUUCAAAUUCUUGCUCUGCUCUGAGAAAUUGUCGUCGGUAUUCGAUCUUAUUGAUGAUGACGACGUAUUGCCGAUUCCGGAAUUGAAUAAAGACAGGGGGGCUGACGUUAGCGUUGGAGGAACUGGAAGUACGAUCAUGGUUGCUGGAUCCUUUUAUAUUCCCAAAUUGAACGAUGAGAAGCCGUUAGGCGAAGAUGCUAGCUUUAUCUGUAUAAAACAACAGACGAUCGGUGUUGCUGAUGGUGUUGGUGGUUGGGCUAAGAAGGGAAUUGAUUCGGGGGUGUAUUCGAGAGAAUUGAUGAAAAACGCGGAACUUGCAGUUCGAAAUAAUGAUAAUAGUACUACUGAUGAUUUGAUGAAAGUGCUGAAUGAAGCUUAUUCGAAUACAAAGGCGAAGGGUUCUUCCACUGCCUGUAUUCUGACUCUGUCUGAUGAUACAUUGCACGCUGUAAACGUUGGAGAUAGCGGGUUCGUGGUGAUCAGGGACGGAUUAAUUGUGUAUAAAUCAGAAAUUCAGCAAUCGAGGUUCAACUGUCCUUUCCAAUUGGGGAACGCGAGUAGUUCUGAUGACCCGAGUGUGGCGCAGAAAAUCAGCUUUCCGGUUAUAGCAGGGGAUGUAAUCGUGUUAGGGACGGAUGGAUUGUUCGAUAAUGUUCAUGAUUUCGAGUUGGAAACAUUAGUGAAAUCUGGGGUGUAUUCGUGGGAGUCGGAUGUGCCGGAGUCUUUGGCAUGGAGGAUUGCGCUAUAUGCAUUGGAUAAUGCAAAAAGCACGGAGCUUUAUUCGCCGUAUUCUAGGGAGUGUUCGAAAGUUGGCAUCGAACGUGAUGGUGGGAAAUAUGAUGACAUUACUGUUAUUGUAGCCAACAUUUGGCCCUUGUAGAGCUCUGUCUGAUCUAACUUACUUGGAGGAUAAGAGUUAACUAUUAGUUGUAAAUAAUUUUUUGAUCUUUGAUUCUUUAUGUUUGGUUCCAUUUACUUAUUCAUUACGUAUAAAACAUAUUUUGUUUGUCCAUUCUGUUCUUUGUCUUUAAUUUUCUUUAAUGCUUUCAAGAUUUGGCCUUUGUAAUAUACGAUUAACAAAGAUAACUGAAAAGGGUUAGUAUGGGGAACCAACGAAGACUGUAAGAUGAGUGAACCAAGUGCAAGCUUUUGCUAAGAAAUUAAGCUUUCAUAAAAGGAACCUGGUAUGCCUGAUUUAAAACAAUUAAUCCACCUUCAUUAACAAAUAGCAAGAACAAGUAUUUACAACUAUGGAGCACUACAAGGAGAUAACCUACCAUCGAGGAAGGUUAGUUUCUCCAUUAUAGGCUCAGCAGGUCAAACAAAAACCAAAAUAUAACCCAUCUAAAUACAAAGUUUCUGUGUCAAGUAACCACAUCUACUAGCUUUCCUAAUCUUGUGCAAUAUUUUCAUCCUUUCAACUAUUUCUUUCUUGAUCUGAAUGAUUGCAGACUCCACUGUAAUUGUUAUUCGCCUAAACAACUUCCAAUUCCUUGCUAUCCAUGUAUGGUAGAUUGUAGCUCCACAGAUUGCAGUUGCAAGUUCUUUUUUGAAUUGUUUCCAGUGUCUUCCUUUUAUCCAGGUGAGCCAUUGUGGGACUCUCUUCCUCUGUGUGCUGAUACCUGACCAUGAUUCCAACUCUGUCUUUACCUGGUUUGUCCAUUUGCAUUCAGCAAAUGAGUGCAACUGAUUCUCUAUUUGAUCUGCCUCACAUAAACAACAUUUAGCAUCAUCAACUUGAAUGUUUAAUCUCUGCAUUCUUUCUUUUGUAAGCAGUCUCUCCUGACUAGCUAUCCAUACAAUUAGACAGGCUAAAUUUCCCCUUUGUAAUAUAUGACUAACAAGAUAACUGAAAAGAGUUAAUAUGAUUCAUCGAUACCUGGGAGCGCCAAUGAAGACUGCAAGAUGAGUGAACCAGGUGCAAGCUCUUGCGAGGAAAUAGCUUUUCUUAACACGAUCCAGGAACUCCUGAUACGGAACAGUUUGUUCCAUCUUCUGCUUCUUCGAGAUUUUGAUAGAACGAUGUAAUCGAUUCGAAAGUGGUGUUGAAGUCAUUAUGAGGGAUCGGAGAUCAUUGAUAUAAGCUUGGAAAUCUGGCAUUUUGCAGCUCUUCUGGUGGCAUAACAUUUGUACAACCUUCAUGACAUUUGAUACUAUGAAAAGAGUGUUUGGUCCUGACGAGCAACCUAAGUCUGCCAUAUUAAGACACUGGGGGAACUCACCAAUAUUAUUGAACAUCUUCUAAAACAGGUUUUGCCUUUAGCAUUACCUUUCUCUGGAAACCAAGAAACAUGAAGUGUAAAUUAUUUACUAGUUCAUAUGACGACAACAAUAACAAUUACGCCUCAAUGCCUAGUACGUUUGGACCGACAAUGCAAGCAAGUUCACACAAGUGGAGUUGAAAAGAGAAAGAGAACUCAAUCGACCUGAAGGGUGGAGGUGCUGGCAUAACUGUAUUCUCCAUCUCCUGCAUUCGCAUGAAGAAUUUUGCUUGCUGCCAUUACUUUUGCUCUGUUUGUCUUCAUAUGUUACUACAUCAUAUGGUGUACAUAACAAAGCAAUACAAUGUUAUUUAUUAAUAGUAUCUUCUUGCAAGUAAACUUUUAUAAUUUACUACUACUCCCCUCACCCCAUAUUAGUUUAUCAAUUUCAAUUUUGCAUGCUCCUUAAAAAGUUAUAAAUAAGUACUCUCUUUAGUCCAUAUCAACUUAAUUUAUGAUUCAUUUUUUCGAAAGCUGGAAUUGAACAUAAUGGUGGAAAAUAUGAUGAUAUUACAAUCAUUGUAGCCACUAUUUUGCCUUUAGUGGGAGAUAAUGUAUCAUGAAUUUAAUUAAGCUUUAUUCGUUGAGGGUCAAAAAAAAAAAUUAUAAGCUCAGUGUAAAUUAAUUUUGAUUCAACUCCAAUAGGUAUAUCCAUCUUUUUUGACUUCUAAACGAAAUUUCAAAAGUUUUGACCUAACAAACUAUAUAUCCUGACUCUUAUGAUACUCCCUCCCUCCAUCAAUUGUUUUCAACUAUUUACUUCAGGUAUAGGUUAAGAAAUAGUAAAUGUUAUGGGUAAUUUUUAUCAUAUUAUUUUUUGAAUAUAAAAAAUUAAUGGUUUGAAAAAUGCAUUAGAUAGUGAAUUCGGUUAUUUAAUACUAGAAGUAAAUGGGUAGAAAUAAGUAAAUUAUUCAUUUAUUUUUCAAACUGAACAAGUAUUAUUGAACAGUAAUUUUUUUUAAUAUAGUAGAUAAUUAAAGAUGAACGGAGGAAGUAAUAAACAAAAGUGCACUGCCAUUAGUUUAAGACAAAGACCCGUUCAAGUUGAAGCAAAACUGCCAGUAAGUUUGUUUCAAUUAAGAGUCUUUGUGAUUGACACUUGUUGUGCUUUGUCACCAUUAAUUAUAGUGAGAAAAACAAUCUCUCUUUUAACGGGGUAAGAAUUGUUUGGCACCAUUGUCUAGUAAUUAUAGUUACAAACAAACCUAUAAAUAGUUGCAUCUAAUGGAUAAAUGUUUUUAGUACAAAAACAAAAUCCAAAUUUGAUCAAACUUUCAAGUAUAUAUAUCUUCUAAUAAGUCUUUUUGUGAAUAUUUUGGAAGAAAAAAAUGCAGGCUAUCAAGGAAAAGUUAAAUGAUAUGAGCGCCAUGCGCAAGGCCAAAGCUGAAGCUAAGGAGGAGGAAAAAGUAAGAAAAUAUAGUGUGUAUGAUCGUAUAUUUGGAAAGCCAAAAAAAUAUUUUUGCCCAAGAAACACUUUAGAAAUCUUGAUCAAAUAUAAAUUGUUGUUUUAAUAUUCGUAAAAAUAUUUUCCAAAUUAAUGAUUAGCUAAAGGAACCUUUCAGCUAGACAAAAACACAAUUAGCUAGCAUAAAAAGUUUAAAUAUGAUAAAAACUAAUUUUUACGUCAGCGACUUUACAACAAAAAAAUUAUAGAAAUUCGGCCAAACAAUCAAUUAGCAUUUAUAACUUGUAGCUUGAAAUAAAAAAAUCAUACAUACAAUCUAUGCUGCUUAGACUUUUUAAAAAUGUCAUUUGGUGUGUGUCGAAUCCUUUAAAAAUAAUGCGUGUUUGGGGGAUCCAACACUGGUGUGACAACAUUUUUGGAAAGUCUUAGCAACUUGGCAUUCAACUGUACGUGGUAUAACAGAUUAAACUAUAUCGAUAAAUUAAAAAUUAUUCUACUAUCAGUAUAUAUAACUUAAAUUUCAAAUGAAAUAGGCAGAGAAGGAGAUGGCUAAGGCAAGAGUAGAAGUAGCACGUGAGGUAAGAUUGGCAAAAGAAGCAGAAGCAGCCAUGGAUAUGCAUGUCAACAAAGCAGCAGAGAAGAUUGCAAAUGAAGAGAAAAAGCACAUUAAUGAAUCUACAGAUGGAACCUUGGACCCUUAUGCAUCUAGUUUCACCAACACUAACAAUCCCAGUGGAGGACACCCUUAUGGUAAUCAUCCUGGUCAGAUGAAUAAUGCUGGCGCAGGACCAAAUAACCAUCUACUUUAAACCCUUCAUGUACGGGGGAGACGGAGCCGGGAAUUCCACAAAAGGGGUUAAAAAUAUAAUUAAGUAAUUAUGAAUAAACGAAGGAGGUUCGAAUGAAGCCCUUUCAUUUCCUAGUUGAGCCCAUGUUUAUGUACUUAGGUAGUUUGAUGCCUCAAGCUUUGUUAUAUAAUGGAAGAAUAAGUUGAGCAACUUUUGAUGUUCUCCAAUCUUCCAAACAAAUAAUAAUACAAAACAAAGAGGUUUUUACAAUGCGAGAUCUAAAAACAUAUCAUUUCAUGUGGCUACAUCAGUAUGAUAUGAUAGAUGAAAUAGUAAUUUGGAUUAUAUUUAGUGAUAAUCUUAUCUCUUUUUUUAUCAUCUCCCACCUUUUCUGUACAAGUUAGAGAAGGUUUAACGUAAAAUUUACACAAAAUUACUUGAAUGAGCAACAAAGCCUGAUCUCUAGAUUUCAAUUUUAAUUUGGUCGUAGUGCUCCUAAAACACGUUUUGUAUUAUUAAACACCACAAGUUCUAAUUGUGAAUUAAUUGACAUGUGAUUUUAAAAAGAAAACUCCCUUACUCUAAAAUGUGAUUGUAAAGUUUCUCUAGUACUGCGGAAAACACUCCGUCAAAAAUCAAACAAAAUACAACAAAAACAGCGUACUAGCAUAUCUCGGCUUAAGAAAAAAUAAUCCAACGCAGUCCAGAAAAUGAAUAAACGCUACUAAAGAAACACCAAGACCUCAAAAAGAGGUCAGAAAAAACCAACCUCACGAGGUCAAUAUUAUAAUUUUUAGCUCCAAAAAAAAAGAAAAAAAAAUUGCAAACGGAUUAGAGCGGCAAAUACGAAAUGUCUGGAUUCUUUUCUCCGUUUUAUUAGAGCCCUCACUUUAUUUGCACAUUGCGCUUAAAAUCCUAACGAACCUGUGAGUUUUUUUUGUUUUUUUUUUUGCACCUUUUGCUUUUGAUAACACUAGUUGUUAGGCUAUAAAUGAGGCAAUAAAACAGGUAGCAACGUAAGAAAGCCAUUCUCAACAAUUACAUGUGACUCCUCAUUAAAAGGAAAAUGUUAUUAUAUGUUUUAGCCAAAAAUUUCUUUUCAAAGUUAAACAGUACAUGAGAUUCUUUUACCAAUAUAUAUAUAUAUAUAUAUAUAUAAAGAGAAGACAUUUAAAAAAAUUAAAGUGGGACUCCCCAAAAAAUUGGGCAUCAAGCCAUUGCUUUAGUUGUCUUAUAGUCAGCCUUGUCCGUAGUUCCACCAGAGAUGAUGCACUAGGAUCCAGAUUGUCUCAUUCUCUGCAUUUUGUUGAACAAAUAAAUUUAUUUAUUCGUAGGAAAAACACAAAAAAGAAAGAAAAUACGUGUAAGAUAUAUACUCAUGAAACUUCAAAAAUGUGCUGAAAUUAAUACAAAAACAAACAAUAUCUGUUGUCGCGAAUUCUGAAACAAUCAUCCAAUGUGUUACAAGGAUAAGUGAAAACAUUAUUGAUUAUCAUAAAAUCAAACAGUGAACUAAAAAAGAAAGAAUUUGGGGGAGGUACUUUUGGUGUGGUUACAUAGCAGCUUAUGAGAUCAAUCAUAUUUGAGAAGGACGUUACCUCUGCUUUGCAAAAUGGAGCAGCUAUAUAUGUACGAAACUAAUACACCAACUUCCAGUAUUUUGUCAUAUGUUCGUCUUAUGAAAUCAACUAAAAGUUAAUACAAUAUGAAAAGGAUAUCAAAAAUGAAGUCUCACCUACUCUGCUAAUCAAAUGAUGUAGCUGAUUCUAUUCCUACAGAAUACAGAUAGAACACAUUUAGAUAAUUUGAGCUACCCAAUACUCAGUACAACUUAUGCCUGAAAAUCGAAAUUGUUGACAGCAAAGCUGAAGUAAACAAACUAAGACAAUAACAUACCCAGUGCAGUACCACAAAGUCGGGUCUCGAGAGGUAGAGUGUAUGCAGACCUGACCUCUACCUUAGAAGUGGGUGGACCGGCUCAAGACAAAAACAGCCUAGAAAUAGAAGUAAUGAAAGUACAAGUGAUAAGAGAUAGUAACAAAAACAUUAGAUAGUACAAGAAAAGUACUAAAACAAAAUAAUACUAUAAUCCAAUUAGAAGAAACAAAAUAUAGAACAAAAAACGAAGGACAAGAAACUAAAAAGAGUAGUCCUACAACUACCAGUAAGGGCAUGUAAACACACUACAUUUUAAAAAUACUAAAGGAUGUAGUUGUCACAGUCCAACUUCAGAACCGUGAUGGCACCUAUCCCACCCUCCAUGAUAGGUAAGCCAUGAAUCCAAUUCCAAACACAACAUCCCAAACUAAUAGAAGCGGAAGGAAUUAUGAAUAAAAUAAUUUUCGAAUAAUCUCAAAUGUAAAUUGUUAGACUAGUAUAGUCAAAACAUAGACAAUCCCAGUUCUGAUAGUCAUUAACACAAGCCACUAAAUAGCGAAAUCAAAGAAAAGUUUGAAUAUCUUAAAAUGCAUAAAGAUAAGGCUAGGGGAGAUUUCAGUAGUUUCUGAAAACAAAAGCAGCUACCUCAAAUUUCCAAAGAUGCUAACAUCGAAGAAACCACAAGAACCAAUGUCCAAAAGUCGUCGGAUCGAUACCUGCACGUAGUGCAGAGAAAAAAAGCAAGGGUGAGUACAGAACCACGUGUACUCAGCAAGCAUCGUCGACCAACCCUAAUUCAAAGUGGCGACAAAUAACACCACGUCAAUCAUCUAAAAACAAACAUACAACCUGCACUAAGGAAAACCACUCUAAUCUAACUGAAUAAUCAGGUCUAACUGUCCUAAAGAUAUCAUAACACAGUUCAAAAAAUCCCCAAUAGGGGUGGGCAUUCGGUCGGUUAGGUCUGAUUGUUUAAUAUCGGUUCGGUUUAUCGGUUUGACAAAAAUGACAUUCGUAACCAAACCGAAAUAAAUUUGGUUUGGUUUCAAUUUUACAAAUUCGGUUCGGUUAUUUCGAAUUUUUAUUUCGAUUUGAAAUAUUAAAGUAGUUAGUCUCUCUUUUUCGUAACUGAGCAUUUAAACUGAUGGAUUUUUUUAGAAAAAUUAUUUUUUUCAAACCUAUUUUUCAUUCUCAAAUAUAAAUAACUCAACAUCGAUGAAGCGAAAUGAAAUAAUCAUAAGCUUAAUAUAAUACAUAAAGUUAUUGAUCAUUACAUAUAAUAUAACCUUGCAUAAAUAGUCCAUAAAACAGUCCAAAGUCAUCAAAAUAGUCCAUAAAAUAUUUGAGUCACUAAAACAAUCCAUAAACAGCUUGUGGCGUUACGGCAUAUGCGAAUUUGCUAUUAAAUGUUAAUUGUGAAUGUGAAUUACUAAAUAUUAUAUAUAUAUAUAUAUAUCAUAUAUAUAAUAAAAUAUAUAUAUUAUUUAUCUAAAAAUAUAUAUAUAUCAUUUAUUUAUUUAUAAAAUAUCGGUUUUUCGGUUUAACUGAAUUUUAAAAAAAAAAUGAAAACCGAACCGAAAAAUCGAAAUUUUAAAAUUACAAACCGAAAAAUCGAAACCAAAAUUAAAUUUCGGUCUGGUUUUUCGGUUUAAACCAAAAUAUCCCCACCCCUAAUACAGUAAAUCAAGUACUUAAUAAAUAAUCAAAACUCAACAAAUACACCUUACUGAAUCUGAGUCGGGAAUGAACAAAUGUUGUGCAACGCAAUGCAUAUGCUAUGUACACAUCUACCGAGCAAUGACUUUAAGGUCAAGACCCAUGGGGGAUUCACAACAUCCAUGUACUGUGCAGGCGUGCACUCCAAUCUCAAUAAAUAUAUUGUGCAGGCAUGCACUCCGACCACAAUAAUAGAUAACAAUGUACAGGCGUGCACUCCGAUCCCAUAUGUAAUGCGUAACAUGCGACUUCGAUCUCAAAUCAACAAUAAUGUUAAGCAAAGCAUUUCAUGUCUUAUGCCGAAUAAAUAUCAACUCACUUAUCAAGUGAGAGUAUUCCCAUUAACCACCUUUUUCAACAAUUCAUUUACCAUAGCAAGUCAGCACAUCGUGCUAGCAAAUAGGGAAACAGCUCAAAACAUACAAUUAACUGAUUCUAACCCCUCAAAUAACAUCGUACCCGCGUACUCGUUUCUUCGUCCAUAUGGGACCCUCAUUCCCCAUUACUCAUAACUAACAAAUAAGCACUUUGAAAAAGAGUCUAAGAAAUUUUCAACUUGCCUCAAAAGAAGUUCAAACGUCAAUUAACAAGCUUGCCCUUACGUAAAAUCUCUGAACAGUCAAAAUCUGUUCAAAUAUCUAAUCCCCAUAAGAGUACAAACUAGCGUGUCGAAUUUAAGCUAACAUGCAUCAUUAUUCAACUCUCAAACCAAGAAUUUUUACUCCAAAAAUCCUAAUUUAUUAAAUAAAAGAACACAAACUAGCAAUCACUAAACUCAACCUGACAACAUAGCCAUUUGUCUGCCUACCAGUACAGCCAAUGAUUGGACCAUAAUGUCACUUUUUCCUUUUAAUCAUUAUCUCGUAAUUAGUGUUCUUAUAUCAAUUCUCAUUCUUACUACAUUAAUCCACCGCUAACUUUAAUCUAACCUAAUAUUUUCUGCCAACAACCAACUAUUAAUAUCAUGCCCUCCAGAUCAUGAUAAUUAAGAUGGCAUAAAAAUAGAUAGCUAACCUGAAAGCCGACUCUGAAAUCCUCGCAUGAAAAGAAAAAAAAAACUGCAACUUUGUGCCUUAUGUGCUCAACCUUAUGAGGUGUUUUAUUAUUAUUCUUUUAUUUUAAAACCUCCCCACUUAAAUAUAUUCUUGUAUUGACCACAUAAGUAAAUAAAUUAUAGGUUUGACCCAUUAGAUUACUAAUUAAAUUAAUCAUCUAAAAUAUCCAAAAUUUGAAAUAGAUAUCCUCAUCUCUUUGACAACCCAGAUACCUUCUUUCUCUUUAAUGACCCUGCAAAUUGUUUUAUAAACUUAUUUUAUUUUAACCCACCACCACCCCCGUUUUUAGACGUGAUUUAUGACUUACGAGAAUGAUUCUUGAGGUGUUCGAAUGCGAUUUAAAUCAUUAGAUGGACUGUUGAGUUUUAAUAAAUUUAAGUUCGCUCACAGUCAACCUUUGAUCAAGAAGAUCUCGAUUUGGUAUGUUAAUGUUUCCAAUAGGCCCGGACGUACCUUUUAGUCAAUUUCUAUAUAUAAUUUAUUUUUAUACGGGGUUUAAAACAAACUAUGAGGACCUACUUAAAAUUUUGGGUAUUUUAGAUAAUUAAUUUAAUUAAUAUUUUAAUGAGUCAAACCCAUAAUUUAUUUACUUAUAUGGCCAAUAAAAGAAUAAACUUAAGUGAGGAGAUUUUAAAAUAAAAGCAUAAUAAUAAAACACCUUAUAAGGUUGAGCACAUGGGUCACAAAGUUGCAGCUUUUUUUUCUUUUCAUGCGAGGAUUCCAGAGGCGGCUUUCAGAUUAGCUAUCUACUUUCAUAGGAUUUAUUCCUAAUGUUAUCUUAAUUAUCAUGAUAUGGAGGGCAUAAUAUUAGUAGUUGGUCGUUGGCAUAAAAUAUUAGGUUGGAUUAAAGUUAGCGGUGGAUUAAUGUAGUAAGAUUGAGAAUUGAAAUAAGAACACUAAUUACAAGAUAAUAAUGAAAAGGAAAAAGUGACACUAUGGGCCAAUCAUUGGUUGUAGUGGUAGGCAGGAAAAUGGCUAUGUUGCGAGGUUGAAUUUAGUGAUCACUAGUCUGCGUUCUUUUAUCUAAUAAAUUGGGAUUUUAGGUCUAGAUUUUUUGAGUAAAAAUUCUUGAUUUGAGAGUUGAAUGAUGAUCUAUUUUAGCCUAAAUUCGACACGCUAGUUUGUACUCUUAUGAGGAUUAUGUAUUUGAACAGAUCUUGACUGUUCAGAGACUUUACGGAAGGGCAAGCUUUGUAAUUGACGUUUGAACUUUUUUUGAGGCAAGUUGAGACUUUCUUAGACUCACAAAGUGCUUAUUUGUUAGUUAUGUGUAAAGGGAGUAAUGAGGAAUGGGGGUCCCAUAUAGGUGAAGUAACGAGCAUCUAUGCGGGUACUGAUGUUAUUUGAGGGGUUAAAAUCAUUUAAUUGUACGUUUUGAAUUGUUUUCCUAUUUACUAGCCCAAUGGGCUAAUUUGCUGUGGUAAAUGAAUUAUUGAAAAAGAUGGCUAAUGGGAAUACUCACACUUGAUAAGUGAGUUGAUUUCGAAAUUGAUGUUUAUUCGGCAUAAGACAUGAAAUGUUUUGCUUAACAUUAUUAUUGAUUUGGGAUCGGAGUUGCAAGCCCGCACGUCAUGCAUUGCAUUACAUAUAGGGUCGGAGUGCACACCUGCACAUUGUUAUCUAUUAUUGGGGUCGAAGUGCACGCCUGCACCAUAUAUUUAUUGAAAUCGGAGUGCAUGUCUGCACAAUACAUGAAGUUUGUGAGUUCCUAUGAGUCCUGACCAUAAAGCCAUUGCUAGGUAGGUGUGUACAUAGCAUAUGCAAUGUAUUUGUUGACUUUGUAUUAUUUAUUAAGUAAUUGAAUUUUUGUUACUUGAUUUACUGGAUUGAGAAUUUUUUGGACUGUGUUCUGAUAUCCUUAUGACUGUUAGACUUGAUUAUUCAGUUAGAUUAGGGUGGUUUUCCAGAGUGCAGGUUAUAUAUUUGUUUUUAGAUGGUCGACGUGGUGUUACUUGUCACCGCUUUGAAUUAGGGUCGGUCGACGAUGCUUGCUGAGUACAUGUGGUUCCGUACUCAUCCUUGUGUUUUUUCUGCACCAUACGUGCAGGUACCGAUCUGACGACUUCUGCAAAUCGAUUCCCGUGAUUCCUUCGGUGUUAGCAUCUUUGGAGAUUCGAGGUAGUUGCUAUUGUUUUCAGAGACUGCUGAAAUCCCUUCUAGCCUUAUCUUUAUGCAUUUUCCGCAUUUUAAGAUAUUCAAACUUUUCUUUGAUUUCGAUAUUUAGUGGCUUGUGUUAGUGACUACCAAACCUGGGAUUGUCUUGUUUUGACUAUACUAGUCUAACAAUUUACUUUUGAGAUUAUUCGGAAAUUAUUCUAUUCAUAAUUCCUUCCGCUUCUAUAAGUUUGGGAUAUUGUGUUUGGAAUUGGGUUCAUGGCUUACCUAUCACAGAGCGUGGGAUAGGAGUCAUCACGGUUCCGAAGUUGGGUCGUGACAGAUGGUAUCAGAGCCCCAGGUUCAUUGGUCUCACAAGUACAAGUCAAGUCUAGUAGAGUCUCGCGGAUCGGUACGAAAACGUUCGUUACCCAUCUUCGGGAGGCUAUAGGACUUAAGGAAAUAUUCAUUUUCUUCUCUCUAUUAUCAUGCAAUAUUGAUCCCUUUAAUUUGAAAUACUGAAAUACUUAUCUUAUUCUCUCACAGAUGGUGAGGAGUCACACAUCUCAAGAUGGUGGUCAAGAGCCCCCGCCAGCCCCCGAGCCGAUCGCCCGAGAUAAGAUACACAAAUGGGGUAAGAGACGUGGUAGGGGCAGAGGUCGUGGUAGAGAGAGAUGUCGAGGAGCCGCUCAGAUUUCUGAUAGUGUGGGGUCUCUCGGGGUUGAGUUCGAGGCAGGUGGUGAUGAUGUUCAGGUUCCAGCUGAUGAUGCGGGCCUAGGUCAGGCACCACCAGGGUUUGUUGCUACACCAAUUCUUCAGGAUACCUUGAUUAAAGUGUUGGGUGUUGUGGAGACUAUAACUCAGGGAGGCGGAUCAUUUGGUACUCCACAGGGUUCACAAGUUAGGAUGGGGGCACAGACCCUAGAUAGCAAUCCAUUCUAAUUUAUCAGGGUCUAGUGGUUCAGCUAGCAUCGAGGUACGAUGGUAUGCCCUUACCAGGGGUUGGAGCUACCGGUGGGAUUAGGGCGGGUAUGUCCGAUGAGGAGCAGCGUCGAUUCGAGAAACUUAGGAAGAUGGAUCCACCGCAGUUUCAGGGUGAUCAGCGUGAAGAUGCCCAUGAGUUUCUGGUCAGUUGCCACGAGAGACUUCAGAGUGUGGGAUUGGUUGACUCCCACGGAUUAAUUAUACUGCCUUACAGAUGUGUGGUCCCACCAAGCAGUAGUGGUGCUCCUAUAUUGAUUCCAGCCAAUGGGUUCUCCACCGAUGACUUGGGCGACGUUUGCACAAGCUUUCCUUGACAAAUUCGUCCCUCGUAGCUCGAGGAAGGAGCGUAGGAACCAGUUUGAGAAUUUGACAUAGAAGGGUAUUUUCAUGAUUGAGUACGAGAUUCGAUUUUAUGCAUUGUCCCGUUAUGCUAUGGUGAUCUUGCCAGACAAGGCCAAGAUGAACAAAAGGUUUAUGAGAGGGUUGACACUUUGGAUCAGAGAGGCCGUGUUUGUUGUAGCCCAAUCUGGGGCUUCUCUUCAGAGGGUGGUUGAAACAGCAAAGGAGUUUGAGUUGAUACAUCGUGAGCAGUAUGGGGAUCUAAGGGGCAAGAGGUCCGGUACUUCAGGUUGAUUCACUAGUACCUCAUCUGGAGGUAGGGGUUCAUUCAAAAGAGAUUUUCGCCCCCAGCAUGGUACGCCAAUUCAGGCAGACAUCAGUAGGUAGACAUUCAGGUCGGGGGGGUUAUGGGUCGGGACAAGCUUCACAGGGUUCAUCUCAGCGGUUUUCAGGUCGUGGUGGCCAUAUCGGAUAUUCAGGUCAUUCUCGACAUUUGAUGGCUCCCAGUCCUGUCAUGAGUGUGGUAGUCCAGAUCAUCACGGAGGGUGGAAUAGGUGUCAUCACGGUCCCGAAGUUGGGCCGUGACAGUAGUACCUCUGAUGGUCAUGGUACAACGGGAUUCUAUGAUAGCCAGAUCCAUUUCCCAGUAACAGCGCAACCUCAAUAGGGAAAAAGAGAAUGGAUUACAUGAGUCCGCAAAUUUCUCCAGAUUCAUUAAGAUGCAUGUGCCCUACACGUGCAGAACCCAGGAUUACUUGAUGUUAAUAAAAUGUUAAUGCGCCUAAUCUAGGCCACAUCAUCACACACAACGAUAAUCCAUUCAUUAGUUAGACACUUAAAGCACAGUUCUGAUGAUUAGUUUCCUGCGAUAAUCCGUUCGUUAGACAGACAAUUGACGAUUGUCACACAUGAUAAUAAAAGUUUUUAAGGAAAAGAACUUGGAGCAAAGCAAUAGUACUAUUGAGCCCCUAAUACCAUUGGACUUAGAUGAAAAACUCCUCGGUUCACAAGGCCAGAACUUUUAAGGAUAUUUAAGAAAGAUCUUUGCAUAAGCUAUCACAUCCAAGAUUCGGAUGGCUUCCAUCUUCUAUAUCUGUUUCAAUUGAUACAUAUAAGAGCUUAAAUUUUUUAUAAAAAGAAGAAGAAAGAUAGGGUACUAAAGAAUUCCAAACAGAUUGUUUGGAAGGUGUAUUCAAAAAAGACCGUAAAAGUAAAAAAAAAAAAAAAGAUAAAUAAUUUACCCUUUUCAUUAAUAGUUUGAUCACAAAAUUAGUAAAUAGUUUAUUUAGCACAAGAGAGAUUUCUUUUCUGAUGAAGAGCACAAGAUAGAUUCAAAUGUUCACUAAGACAGAGUUGAUCCAAGAGUUGAUCCAAGUACUGCUAAACAACCUGUUUUUUUUGGCUAUCACGUAACAAUACCCUUAAUUUAGACAUUGACAACUGUUUUGAAGUUUUGCUACUCUUUGCGUGUACAAUGUAAUCAUGCAUGAUAUGCUUCAUCCUAUUGCUUAUGCCAUUUGAUUUCAAGAUAAAUACAAUCAUCUCAUUGCAAUAAACAUUGGUAAGUGUUUGUCCAUUGGUUUCCUUUAAUCUUCAAAUCAUAUGUAGACCUUUUUUUUUCCUUUUCCGUUGAUAUCCCUCUUUUGUUGGAUAAUUGAGCCUUACAUGUAAGUACUUUGGUUUGUCUAAAGUGAUGGCAAACAUAUCCAUUCAAUUAAUAAAAUAUGAAGUUCUCCUAGUAAAAAUAGCUAACUUAACAUUUGUGAACCUUGAAAAAACUUUAAAAUGUAUAUAAAACCAAGAUUAGUACAAAUACCCGGAACCCUCUGUCAAAAUAUUAUUGAAAUAACUUCAUAUAGGUGGAAAUUUUCAAGAGAUGUAUCCUCAAGAAAACAUAAGAAGCAAUUAUCAAAUUUAUUGGAACACAUUAAGAAGGUGAAACCGAGAAGGAACAAAAAUACCUUUUGGAAAAUAAGUUCACCAACUUAUUUGUAUAUGGAAUUGCAAUAACACACGCAAUCAGAAUAGACAUGGCAUCAAACCUCAACCUGAGAAUUUUAUCAAAAGAAAACACAAUAAGUAGGAAACUUACGAAGUAGUAAUUGAUAAGUAAAAAUAAACUAUAUUGACAAUAAACUAAAAUUUUGAUAGAUAUUCUUUCAGAGAACACAUGGAAGCACUUUUAAUGAAAAUACUUUUGUAAGAGACAUCACAUUCAAUUACAUCAUAUAUAAUGAAUGUACAAGUUAUUAACAAAUAGGGAAAAAAUCUUACCGUCAGCCAAUUAUCAGUGCCUUUGACCCAGUAGUUCGAGACUUUGUCUAAAAGAACAAAAUCAAAGAAAUUAAGAAAACAAACACAAUCAUAAAACUACUUGUUUUUGCAGUACUGUACAAUCCACUCCUUAGAAAUUUUAGAUGAAGACAAAAUCUUGAGGUUGUGCAUCUAGGGCAGAAGAAGAAUACGGGUAUGGAACAAAACAGAAAAUCAGGGGAGGAAGUGAAUAGCGAAAACCUGAUAACGCAUGUGAUGCAACCAGAAACAAACAGAUAUUGAAGAAAUCCAAAGCUCCACAUGUCUUUCUUCUGAAAAAAGCGACAUUGAGCGAAAGAGGGAUUAAUUUCAAAUGAAAAGGUGGCGAGACUCAUGUUUCAAGUGUAUGCACAUGGCUUUGGGAGAUGAAUGAAGCUCAACACACCUCAUUCCUGUAAAAUUACAAAUUGCACUUAUUCAUUCGUUUUGUUGGUAAUGCACAUGGUACAAUUUUUUGCUGCAGUUUCCGUACCUCUCUUGUUCACACACACAUAUAUAUUACUUAUUAUUUUUUACAAUUGUCAAGACUGACAUUUGUUUAAGAGCAGAAAAAAGUAGUUUCAAAGACCAACCCUUGCCACUACUUCAGUUAGGAUUGAUCCCCCUACUCAUGCUACACCUUUUUGUGUGCAGAGUUAGGUCCGAGUACCAGUGGAGCAUGCGAAGUUGCUCGAUUUCAGGAGUUCUUUGUUGGAAACUUCACGGUGAGCUCCUUGACCGAUCUACAACACCAGUCUCCUCUAUACCUUUUCCUUUCGUGUCUUUCAUUUCAGAUAAUGCAGUGAUACUUUUAGAUUUGUAUAAAUCUAGGCUACAGUUCUACGACUUCCAGGGUUUAGGGGAUAUUGUGGUAUUUCCGUAUUUCUAUGGCUAUUAGACUAUUUUUUCUUAUCAGAUAAACAGUUUCAUAGAUUUCAUUGAUACUAACAAGGCCAACAUGGCCGUAUACAAGAGGUAUACCAAAAAAGGAGAAAAACCUACAAAAAAUGGUUCUCUCUAAAAGACACCAAAUACUCUAUACCAACAGGAACUACAUGGAUGCACCAAAAGAAAAUAAGAUAUCGAAGACUACUUCUCAAUUGAGCAGAAUUCAUCCCCACCCCUUCAAAAAGCUCUCCUAUUCCUCUCUUUCCAAAUAACCCACAUUAGUACAAGAGGAAUAACAACAUUCCACGCCUUGUGUCUUCUUCUUCUAGCUCCACUUUCCGGCUGAACAUCAACUCCUUCACAGAUCUUGGCAUUACCCUGGAAACGCCAAACCAUCUGAAUAUAUCCCUCCAUAACCUCGUUGCUAAAUCAAAAUGCAAUAGAAUAUUAUCUGCGUCCUCCCCUCCCUCCUUGCAAAGGAAACACCAGCUUAAACAAACAACCUUACGUUUUCUAAGAUUCUCCGCUGUCAAUAUCACUCCUCUAGUAGCUAGCCACACGAAGAAACUCACCUUCCUUGGCACCAUAGACGUCCAGACCGCACUGUGUGGAAACCUCACCUCCGCCCUAACCAAGAGCUUCUCAUAAAAGGACUUAACUGAAAACACUUUGUUACCUCCCAACUCCCAAUACAUUGCAUCGGGUCUGUCGACUAGGUCGCAUUGCUCCUGAAAUCUUUGAAGUUCGAACAUCUCCAAAUCCUGAAAGUUUCUCCUGAACCACAAAUCCCAGAAACACCUGUCCCCUUGUGUCCCCCUAACUCGCUGAGCAGACUCAUCUCUUUGCAAGAUACCCUAUACAAAAUUGAAAACACACCCUUAAGCACCAUCCCUCUACCACUUAUGACCCAAAAACUAACCUGUACUCCCAUCCCCGGCCUUAAAAUCAAUGUUGUCAUAAAAGGCUUCCCAUCCCUUCAUUAUGCACCCACACCCGAAAGGCAUAAUGAUCCUACUUGUUCUCCACCCCCCUUCCGAUUAUCCAUAUUCAUCCGCUAUCACCCCUCUCCAUAAAGCAUCUCACUCGACCCCAAAUCUCCACAACCAUUUACCUAAAAGUGCUGUGUUAAAAACCUUCAAAUCCUUAAUCCAAAGUCCUCCCCGCUGUUAGACUAUGUUAUGAGUUAAUUAUGUAUUUCGCUUUUUGGUUCCGCUUUAAUAUAAAAAUUGGGCAAAAACAGGUUAGGGUUUGCCUAAACUUAGGUGUAGGUGCUCUCACGACUGGGUUGUGACAAUUUAGUGUUAGAGACCCACAUUCACUGACCUCCUGGGUACAAUAGUCAUGUCUAGUAGAGUUUUGCAGAUAGGAUAGAGACAUGUAUUAUCUCGAGAGGCUAUGAAACACUUCGGAAACAAGUUUAUAGCCUUGACCGCCUGGUAACCUUCAAGCAUUUGUAGAUCUCUAUUUUUUCACCAAAUUGGAACUAUUAUUAAUUGGGGGGGUCAGCCCGGUUCAUACCCACUCCGUGGGUGUCGGGGAAGGGAUAAUCUAGGCAGCCUCACCCCAACUUCGCUGAAGGGCUGAUUCGAACCCAGGACCUGGCACACCACGGUAAGCAAUCUUACCGCUGAGCCAAGCCGGUAAUUUCACUUAAUAAUAUAUUAUUAACACACACACACACGCACACACACCAAUUUUUUGGUUUUGUUUUUGAACAUUUGUGCCUUUCAAAUGCUAAGUAAGCCGGAAAAGCCUAUUUCUGAUGCAGGGGAUAUAAUGAUUUUUCAUGGAACGAAUUUGUCACUACGAAGGGAGAAUUAAAAAAUUAGAAACAUGAAACCAAAACAUAUACAUGUUAGAAACAAUUUUAAUGUUAUGGAGUGUAGAAACAAUUCUAGAUAAUUGACUAAAACAGAACACUUGCAUUUCUCAACUUAAUGAAGCCCGGAAAGUAAUGAAUCUCGUACUAUCACCUUAUUUUUCAAUAGAUGGAUAUUAAAUAUUUCUUCUUGAUAAUCUUCUUUACUGUUUUGAUUCAUUUUCAGUUUUAGAUGUGUCAUUAGUUUACAUUGGAAAGUUCCGGAAUGAGAAUUACCUGAUACGUAAACUGAUUUGUUAAAUUUUUGAAGCGGAAGUGAUCAUUUUUGAAAACCAUACUAAUAAAAACAUUUUCAAUAACAACAACAAUAAAAGCGCAAAUAAAUAUAUAAGUAUCCAGUAAACGUUAAAAGAAAAUUGACCAUAGAUUCAAUAAGUGAACGAACCAACAAACUUUGAAAAAUACAAUCACUAAACACAACAGAAAGUCUAUUCAAAUAAGGACAACAGGAAAGAGAUGUGAACAGUCUCUUGAGUUUUGACACAACUUAAACAUGCAAAACAGUACAAUACAUAUACAAUCCAUGGGACAACAUGGACAUACAAAACAUUACUAAUUAAAAAACACAAACAUUGCUGCUUGGUCCUUAAAUUUUAUUGUUGUGGUUUGGAUCUUGAACAUUAAUUUUGUUCCAAUAUGAAUCAUAAAAUAACGCCAUUACAUCAUCGUUACUCCAGUCUAUCGACUCAGACAAUGCUGGACUCCAUUCUCCAUCAGUGUUGUUGUGGUUUGUAUCUUUAGCAUUAGUUUUGUUGAAAUAUGAAUCAUCAAAAAAAAAUCAUUUCAUUAUCAUCAACCCAGUCUAUCUACUCAGUCAAUGCAGGACUCUGUGGAAAGCCGUCAACAGAGUAUUUUUGGUAGUCAUUCAUCAGCAAUGAUAAAUCCACUGUGGGGAUAUACAUUGAAGAGUCCAUUUGAGGUAUCAUCAAUAUGAAUCAUCAAAAAAAAAUCAUUUCAUUAUCAUCAACCCAGUCUAUCUACUCAGUCAAUGCAGGACUCUGUGGAAAGCCGUCAACAGAGUAUUUUUGGUAGUAGUCAUUCAUCAGCAAUGAUAAAUCCACUGAGGGGAUAUACAUUGAAGAGUCCAUUUGAGGUAUCAUCACAGGAAACACUGAAGCAGACACUUCAUAAGCCAUUGUUGUUGAAGGUAAUGGAGGGGCCACUAUAGGAGCCCUUCUAUGAGGAACUCGCGAGGGGUCCACAGUAGGAACCAUUUGAGGAGGAGCCGCUAGAUGAAACAAUUGUUGGGGCAACAUGGGAACCACCCAUGUUGGAGCCACAUCAGGGACCAACAAAGGAUCCCUUUCCACCUCAAAGUUGGCCCCUCAGAUCUAGUCCAACCUGGCACCACCGGUCCAACAACUGCUUGAGAGGCAUUCGAUGUAGAACCCUCUCUGUCAAUAGGAAGGACUUUUUCCUUCAACACUUCAUUCUUCGUGUUCGUGUUUGUGAUUUCUUUAACCUUGGUGAACUCUUCUCUUGUCACUACACUCUUUGAUUGAACCAACGUUGGAAGACUCUUAAACUUUCUAAAGGUGUUGAGUGUAUCUUCAUAAUGUGGAAAGACCACUGGUCCAUUGCUGUAAGGACUGUAGAUGACAGCAGCUAUUUCAACACCACAAAGUGUGUUGAGUUCAUGAGCUUUUUUCAUGAUUGUCUUCUAUUGUAUGAGAGUUUCCUCUCAAUGUUAUUUUCAAUGAAAUGAAAAAUUCAUGUUCUUUCUCGUCAUGGCUAAAAGGGGGAAAGAGGAGGAGAAAUGUGUGUUUUUGGAUGGGGAUCAAAUGACUUUGGUAUUGUUGUGUUUCUUUGCCUAGGAUUGAUUUCUAUUUUUAGGGGAAAUGCAAAUUCGAAUUAUUUUGGAAUAGUUUGAAUUAGAGGAUUCUUAGCUGUCAGAAGUAACUAUUUUGGCAUGAACUUAAAUAAGGGUGUAUUAGAUACCAAGUUAGAUGUUAUCAUCUUAAAAUAUAGGUAGUUUAUGGCUCUGAUCUUAUCCUGACCAAAUUUUGAUCCAAACUUUACCAAGUUAGAUGUUACCAUCUUGAAAUAUAGGUAGUUUUUGGCUCCGAUCUUAUCCUGACCAUUUUUUAAGUCGAGCUUUUCUUAUUAGGAGAAUAAUUUAGCGUGGCUUAAUCUGAUUCAGUUAGAUCAACAAAAGAUGGCCAUAGAGUAAUUAAUUUCAUUCAUUAAGAAAUACAAAAAAAUGUUUAUUUUAAUUUAUAGAUGUGCAAAAUUUAUAGAUUGAAACAAGCGAACAUUUCAAUAUUGAUAUAUGUUUGUUUUUUUUUUGAAACUGGUAACAUGUAUUCAUCAUCAUUAAGGGCAUGUUGGCCACCUCCAAAAGUGUGAUUACAUAGAUAGCUAAUUACAAAAGACCUAGGAAAUCCACUGUUUGUAUUUCAUCUACUAUACAAUGCUCUUUACACCAAAAACAUAAAGUAGAAAUACAUUUUCCUUUGAUCUUCUGGAUGCAGUUUGAUCUUUCUUUGAAUAUUCUCUUAUUUCUCUCCUUCCAUAUAGUUCACCAUAUAUAAGUCGGAAUAGUUUUUCACCAUCUCUUUUGGCUUUUGCUACCUCCCCUUCUAAUCCAGCAACUCAACAGAUCAGCAGUGUGUUCUGGCAUUGUCCAGUUACUCCAGCCAAGGUGAUGAAUAGGGACCAAACUUGGGAAGUCACCUUACAGUGUAGGAAAAGGUGGUUGUUUCAUUGGCUUCCAUACAAAGAGGGCAUAUAGAAGCUAAAUGAAAUUUCAUUUUCUGUAAUGCCUCGUGGGUGAGACAUGCCUUCCUCACUACCAGCCAAGAAAAGCAUCUCACUUUUGCGGGUGCCAUGCUUCCCCAAGUGGUUUUCCAAGGCCCUCUACUUCUUCCAACUAGCACUAAAAGACCGCUCUUGUAGACUCUGUUAACUAAGAAUUUGACAUCAAUGUUGUGUCUCCAUCUGAUGGUAUCAAGCUCACUGAUAGUCCCUGUGAAGGUACCUAUUCUACCAAGUAAAGCAACCACUUGUUCUACCGCCCAGUCAUUGAAAAGCCUUCUGAAAAUUAAGUUUCAUCCCUGAGUUGUCUAGAUGUCCUCUAUUAUGGUGUUUUGGUUGGUGCUGAUGUUGAGCUAUUAAGGACAUGUACGAUGGAGGGAAGACCAGGGUGAGGACGGCGGGAGGAGACUCAGAGCAUUUUCCGGUCGAGACAGGGUUGUAUCAGGGAUCGACUCUUAGUUCGUUCCUUUUUGCGUUAGUGAUGGACGUGCUGACUCGGAAUAUUCAAGGCGAAGUGCCUUGGUGUAUGUUAUUUACGGAUGAUAUAGUGUUGAUUGAUGAGAUGUGGGGGGUGUGAAUGACAAAUUAGAGGUUUGGAGGCAAACCCUUAAGUCUAAGGGGUUCAGGUUGAGUAGGUCCAAGACGAAGUAUUUGGAGUGCAAGUUUAGUGACUUGAGGCAGGAGGACGAAGCGGUGGUGAGGUUGGAUUCCCAGGGUAUUUGUAAGAAAGAUAGUUUUAAGUAUCUUGGGUCUAUAAUUCAGGGGAAUGGUGAGAUUGAUGAGGAUGUCGCUAAACGUAUUGGAGCGGGUUGGAUGAAGUGGAGGCUCACCUUGGGAGUGUUGUGCGAUAAGAAGGUGCCCCUUAAGCUUAAAGGCAAAUUCUAUAGAGUAGCAGUCCGUCCGGCCAUGUUGAAUGGAGCGGUUGGUUGGCCUAUCAAACACUCCCACAUCUAAAAAACGAAGGUGGCGGAAAUGAGGAUGUUUUGUUGGAUGUGUGGGCAUACUAAAAGGGACAAAGUUAGGAAUAAGAUUAUCCAGGAGAAGGUGGGAGUGGCUUUGGUGGAGGACAAGAUGCGGGAAGAAAGGCUGAGAUGGUUUAGGCAUGUGAUGAGGAGGGACGCGGAUGCCCCAGUUCGUAGGUGUGAGAGGCUAGUGUUGGAUGGCUUCAUGAGGAGUAGAGGUAGGUCGAAGAAAUACUGGAGAGAGGUGAUUAGAUAUGACAUGGAGCAGUUACAGCUUUCUGAGGACAUGACCCUAGAUAGGAAGGUGUGGAGGUCGCGGAUAAGGGUAGUAGGCUAGUGUGAGUGUGGGGUUGUAGCAGGCAGUCAGGAGAGAUCUUGUGUAGCCGGGUUAAGGUGUUCAUAGGGAUCUUUGGUUUGUGAGGGCAUGGUACUACUAGGUGGGUGUCCUAUUCCCUAUUUCUGAGUUCCUUUUUUCUUAUUUCGUGUUGCCCUUAUUUCUCGUAUUUCGUGUUUCUCUGAUUUCUAUUUUAUUAUUCCUUACUCCUUAUUUCUGUUGUGUCAUCCAUCCCCUUGUUUAUUAUUCUUUAUCUUGAGCCAGGGGUCUAUCGAAAACCUCUCUCUUCUUCGGAGGUAGCAGUAUGGACUGCGUACAUCUUACCCUUCCCAGACCCCACUUUGUGAGAAUACACUGGGUUUGUUGUUGUUGUUGUUGUUUGUUGGUGUUGAAUAGGCUGGGGAAAGCUGCUUAUAAUGUGCCUUGUCCAUCCCAGUUAUCCUUUCAAAAAAGGAUUUUGCUACAGUACCCACUUGAAAAAAAUUUCCCUAGGCUGGUCCAAAAAGAUCUUAUGGUUCUCCAUAACCCAACUCUAUAAGCGUCAGUGGCUUCAUCAAUACACCACUGAAUUUUGACCAUAUUUCUGUUGUAUUACAUUCUUCCAUAAGGCGGGUCUGUCCUCAACAUAUCUCCAUAGCCAUUUCUUGAGUAGGUUAUUAUUUUGAAGUUUCAGAUUUCUAACCCCCAUACCUCCAUGAUUUUUGCACUGUUGAACAAUGUUCCAUUUCACCAGGUUGAAACCUUUGUGCGCCUUGUUGCCAUGCCAUAAGAAGAUUCUUCUCAACUUGUCUAAAGCUUUGAGAACUUUAGCUUGGAAAAAGCGACAUUACAUAAGUUGGUAAAAAAUCCAGCACAGAGUUGAUUAGGAUAAGCCAGCCCCCUAGAGAUGGUACUGUGCCUUCCACAUAGCAAGCUUCUUUUCCGUUUACUCUAUGAUGUUGUCCCAAAUCUCUAAUGCCUUGUGUUUUGCCCCCAGUGGAAGUCCCAGUUAAAUCGCAAGAAGUUUUCCUAUGUCGCAGCUCAAAAUAUUGGCUAGAGUCUGAAUUUGUGUAACCUCAUUUAUAGGAAAGAUGUUUUUCGUCCAGUUUAUCUUUAGGCCUGAGACUGCUUCAAAUAUGACUAACAUUAGUCUCGAGUAGAGCCGUCAAAAUAGGCUUGUUUGACCCAACCCAACCCGCUAUUGUGAUUUUUUAGCCUAUUUAAAUAUGGGGCUUGUAAGCCCAGCCCAAGUCAUCGAGAAUUAUUUGCAGAUGAAGAGAUGUCAAAGGGGCUUCUUACUUCCCAAGCAGAUCCUCCUACAUCUAUAUAUAAACGCCGCUGGCCCUUGAGGCUAGACUAGGUUGGCUCGUGGGUCAAAAUACCAUUUAAUUUAAAUUAAAAAUAUAUGAAUAUUGUAAAAGAAAAAGUAAUAAUUAAGAAUAGUAGUUAUUGAAUAAGUUUAAUAUCCUAUACAAUAUUUAACUUAUUGAGUGUUAAACCUUAAUCAUCAAGUAUUGAUGUUUCAUUUGUUAUUGUUAUUCAAUUUAAACUUAAAAUUAAAAAAAAUUAUAAGCAAAAAAAAUUAAAAAUAUAAAUAGUGAUUACUCAAUAAAUUUUACCUAGUAUCUUACAUAAUAUUUUACUCAUUAGCAUUAAAUGAAAAAUAUUAAAAUUUCUAAUAGUAAAUAUAAAAAUUGCAUCCAUUAUGAAAUGUUCAAAUACUUGUUGCAGCCUAGAAAUCAAUUGCACAACAUUACCCAAAUUCAAAGUGAUAAUAUUUUUAAGUGAAUUUUAAAUAUUAUUAAUUUUUGAUAUAUAACUUUUAGAUAUUGUUCAACUUGUUAAAUUUGCAUAUGAAUUUAGAUGAAUGUUGAUGUUAAUUAAGAUAAUGUAAUCAAUGAAUUCAAAUUAGUUUGACAAUGUAUUGGUGUUGAAAAGAUUAUAAAUCAUCGUAGAAUUAUGUACUUUAUAUAAUAAUGUGUUAGAAGUGCGAAUGAAUUGCCAUAUCUAUUAGUUCAAAUUGAAAAAGAAAAUCUAACAAAAAUUUGAUAAAAAUAAAGGGCUAGCCCGGCCCAACCCGUGACCCUAUUAGGGUUGGGUUGGGCCAUACAUUUUAAGGUCAUUUAAAGUGAAGGGCCGGCCCGUCCUAGCCCAUCAAAUUCUUUGGCCCGUGAGGCUUGGGCUGGGCUAGCCCAUUUUGACAACUAUAGUCUCAAGAAACUGAUUUGCUCACUAGUAGCAUCACAAAAAACUGUGUCAUCUGCAUAGAGUAAAUGACAUAUCUCCACUGUCUUGCUGCCUACUUUAAAACCUUUUAGCCAUUUUUUUUUUGUAUUGCAAUCUUUAUCAUGCUAUUCAGCCCUUCCAUGGCUAUGAUGAAUAGAAAAGGGGUAGGAGAUCCCCUUAUCUUAGCCCUUUUUCUGCUGGGAAAAAAACAAUUGGUUCUCCAUUCACCAAAAUUGAGAACCGGGUGGUUUUAAUGCAAAAAUUAAUCCAAUUUAACCAUCUUCUUCAAAGCCCAUUUGCCCCGGAAUAUUGAGUAAGAAUUUCCAAUUGAUAUGAUCAAAUGUCUUCUCAAUGUCUAGUUUGCAUAUCACCCCUGAUUUUGUGUCUCUCAGUCUAGUGUCAACACACUCACUUGUUAUCAAAGUUGCAUCCAUGAUUUGCCUUCCUUUAAUAAAGGCCAUUUGGUGUGUGUUGAUCAGCUUGUCUACACCUUCUUCAACCUUUCAGCUAGUACUUUGGCAAUGAUCUUGUACAUUCCAGUGAUGAGACUUAUUGGUCUGAAAUCUCUCAAUUCAAUAGCACCCACCUUCUUUAGGAUUAGAGCUACAAAAGUUGCAUUGAAGCGUUUUUCAAAGACCUGUCGUGAGUGAAAGUUUUGUAGAGUGAGUAGUAUGUCUGAUUUCAAUAGUUCCCAGAAAGUAAUGAAAAAUGACAUUGGAAAUCCGUCAGGGCUUGGAGCUUUGUCUGAUGCACACUGUUUAAGCCCCUCUAGUACUUCAUCUUCUUCAAAUUGUCUUUCCAACCAUACUUGUUCUUUUGUAGAUAUCAUGGUAUUCCUUUAGAGAGUGAAAUCAGGUCUCCAGUUCUCGGAUUCUUUGUAUAGUUUCUAAUAAAAGCUCACAAUGGAGUUUUUUAUGCUUUCAGGAUCAGUGACUUCGACCCCCUCCACCUUGAGCAUGUCAGUGGAGUUGAAUCUUCUAUGGGCCUUGGCUAUCUUGGGGAAGUAGUUGGUGUUUUAUCACCAUUUUUGAUCCAUUGUACCCUGAAUCUUUGUCUCCAAGCAAUCUCCUCAUUUCUGGACACCUCUUCAAAUUCCAUAGCCAGAUGAAUUUUUUACAGCUAUUCAUCAUCUGUCAAAAGCCGAAGAUCCUGGAUGGAUUCCAGAUUUCUCAAUUGGGAGAGGAUCUGAUCCUACCUUUCCUUCCAGUUGUUCCUGUUGGCUUUGCUCCAUUCUUUAAGUUUGACUUUCAACUGACUAAGCUUAGAAACCAGUUGAAAAUCAGGUCUGCCGAUGGCAUUGAAACUGCUCCACCAGUCUUUCACCUUGUCUAUGAAUCCCUCCUCCUUAAGCCACCAAUUUUCAAAUUUAAAAUAAGAUUUCAUGUGUUUCCAGUCACCACAAGAUAAUAAAAUGGGGCUAUGGUCGGAGCCAAGAUGAGGAAGGACACUUUGAUUGAUUUUGGAAAAACUUUCAGCCCAUUGAGGUGAGAAUAGAAAUCUAUCUAUUCUUGAAGCACAACUAUAAUUUUGACCUCUCCUCCAUGUGUUAUUUCCUCCGGAAAGAGAAGGAUCCAAAAGUUCCAAAUCAUUUAUGCAAAGGUUAAAAUCAUGGCUCUACUUAUUCUGUUGAGCCAUGGCUACCUAUAUUUCAAGAUGGUAAUGUCUAUCUUGGUAAAGUUUGACGACAAUUGGCCAAGUUAAGAUCGAAGCCAUAGACUACCUAUAUUUUAAGAUGAUAACACCUAACCUGGUAUCUAAUACACCUUUAUUUAGUUUCAUACGAAAAUAGUUACUACUUACAACUAAGAAUCCUCUAUUUCAAACUAUUCCAAAAUAUUUAAAGGAGCUUAAAUAAUAGUUUGAAAUAGAGAAUUCUUAGUUGUAAGUAGUAACUAUUUUCGCAUGAAACUAAAUAAAGGUGUAUUAGAUACCAGGUUAGGUGUUAUCAUCUUAAAAUAUAGGUAGUCUAUGGCUUUGAUCGUAUCCUGGCCAAUUGUCGUCAAACUUUACCAAGAUAGACAUUACCAUCUUGAAAUAUAGGUAGUUUAUGGCUCCGAUCUUAUCCUAACCUUGAAACAAGCGAACAUUUCAAAUGUUGGCUAAGAAAUUUGAAAUAUCAAUUUCGACAAUAUUUGAAUAUGCAUAAAAAAAUAAUCAAUUUAACGGUUAAUUUUUUUAAAACACAAAUAUUUAUUGAAUAUUAAAUAGUGAUAUACAUAUAUGAUUAUAGUAGUUGAAGAGCUUAUAGGAGCACAAUUUUAUUUUCUUUAAUUUUGGAAGAAACCACAUUUUGGGGAUAUUAAGCUCCUUUAAAAUAUAUUAAAAAUAAAUUUCCACUUAAAUUUAUUUUUGUUACUGCCUAAUACUCAUCAACCUGUCACUCGACUUCCAUUGAAAUUUUUCUAAAUUACUUUUGAGAUGAAUCAAUAUGAAAUAAUUGCACAAAACAAUGAUCAAAACUAUGUAUUUACACAUAGUGGGGAGAGAAAAAGAGAAAUUUUAUUCAUUUAAAGAAAAGUAUUCAAGAAGAAGAGAAAUUAGUUGCAUAUUCUCUUACUAAUUAUUUAUUAAAUGAAAAUAUAUAUUAUACUCAGAUAAGAUUUUCUUCCUUCAUAGUAACCAAGUUAAAAUCUAAUCAUCUUGGGAUCCAAGAUGAGGCUCCUCUUCGUUACUCAUUCUCUUCAUUUUCCCAAAUUCCUUGUCAUAAUUAAGAAGUAAAGGUUGAGAUUUAAUAAUUCAAAACAAGGUUCUAACUAUGAUUAGAAAAACAAAAAUUUCCUUUAUUUACUCAAACAAUUUAUCAAUCCCAUAAUUCUAGUUAAAAAUUAUGUCAUACAUAAAACUAUUUAAAACUUGUACCUCCUGGCUAAAGCUUGACCGAUGGAAAGAGAAUAACUCGACCCAAACCAAAAGAAUAUAGCCAUACAUAUGAGUUAAAACCCAAUGUCAAUAUGUUAUGUUGAUGCACAAGCGUUUAUGUUAUGUUGAUGCACAAGCGUGGGAGUGAUACAGAAUUGGAAGAACGAGUUUUUGGAAAUUUUGUGUGGAAGAAUGGAUCGUACAUAUCACCCACGAGUCGUAUAAGUGAUCUACGACCACUUUACUGAACUUACAGACCGUACUUAUGGUCCAUACAGUGACCAAUGCAGGAACUACUAUUGGGAUCUUAAAGAUUCUAAGAAUGGAGAGCAUGUAUGGCCAUAAGACGAAUCUAUGGACAGUACACGGUGUCGUGGUUGCAACCUCCGCAAAGUUGAGCUAUUUUUUUAGGCAUGGGUACAAUGUACAAGCAACCUAUGGACCAUAAGUGGCAUCUAAGACCGCACAUAGAACAAUGAAUGAGUUACCAAAUUUAUCGGAGUUCACAUAUGGGCCUUAAGUGGGAUUCACGAUGCAUACAUGAGCCAUACUUGACCAAGCCAAUUUUCGAAGCUAGUGAUAAGGACCUGAUGCCUAUGUAUGUCCAACCAAUGGACCAUUACUGAUAUUUACAAACCACACAUGGCAUCCAGGCUGGCAGUAAGUGGCCCAAAGCAGUUAUAAUGAAUGCACAUUUUCUGGAUUUUUCAUUCAUUCUUCAAUUUUCCAAGCCAUAGAACUACAAUUUUCUCUCUUAUUCCUCCCACACCAAGGUAAGCUUAUACUAUGAUUUUAGGUGUUUCUAACAAUUAGAUAUGGUUUCUGACAAAGAUUCGACACUAGAUUCUUAUGAUUUUCAAGAAAAUCAUUCUCAAGGUUCAAGAACAGAUAUUUAGAGUUCCUCUUCAAAGUUAGAGUUUACUUCCAUUGUAUUGGAGCGAUUAAGGUAUGAGGCUAAUCUCUUCUUGUGGGAAGUUUUGUUCUUCCCACGAUUAAGUUUCUUCGUGCACCAGGACUUCUCCUCAAUAAAAUGGUUAGGGUUCAAAUAUGAAAUGUACGUACCGUUCAUAUAAAUUCAUUACAAACAUCAUGAAUCCCUUGCGAUAUUCUUAGAUUCUAUGGAGAAACCUAUUCUAUGAGUUUCAUUGUUGUCACCGUGAAAAUACGAUACAACAACAACAACAAACCCAGUGUAUUUCCACCUGGUGGGGUCUGGGGGGUAGGAUGUACGCAGUCCAUACCUCUACCUCUGAAGAAGUAGAAAGGCUGUUUCCGAUAGACCCCCGGCUCAAGACACGCGGUACCACACAAACACAUAGUAAAGCACAGCACAAGGUUACAAGAUUACAUAACAUAAAUACGGCACCCAUAAGUAAUCUAAAACAAAGGAAAACACACAGAUCCAUAAUAAAACAUGGGACACGGGCUCCUAACAUGCAUAAACCCCCACCAAGUAGUUCCCCCACAAAGUAGUCCCCGACACUAUCGUCUCAGGCUGGCCCUCGUCCUCUGCCCUGAUUCGCGUCCUCCAGACCUUCCUAUCUAGGGUCAUGUCCUCGGUGAGCUGUAACUGCUCCAUGUCUCGCCUAAUCACCUCACCCCAGUACUUCUUCGGCCUACCCCUACCCCGCUUAAACCCAUCCAACGCUAGCCUCUCACACCUACGGACCGGGGCAUCCAUGCCCCUCCUCUUCACGUGUCCGAACCAUCUCAAAAAUACGAUUUUAAUUAGUCCAGGGAUAAUAGGACUCUCCUAAAGUUUGGACGUGUCUCAGCCUUUUCAUGUGUAGUUCAAGGCGGAAAUAGAGCAUUUUUUCAAAAAAGAAUAAAAAAUUCUUAUCACCACAUCGACCCUUAUAUUGUUGACAAUGCAUUCUUUAUUGGUCUCGCAAAAAAUUGUGUUGCUUCAUAAUUUCGCCCUUUAACACUUAGGGGUCGUUUGGUAGAGUGUAUUGAAAAACUAAUGCAUGCAUUAGUUUAAUGUGUAUUACUAAUAAAUACCUUGUUUGGUAUACUUUUGCACCCUAUGUAUAACUAAUGUAUUAGUUAUACAGUCUAUUGUGUAUUGAAGUGUGUAUUACUAAUACCUCAAAAUCCACAGUAUUAGCAAUGCAAUGGAUCCAAUACAUGUGUUAACAUGAUUAAAGACACUAUUAUCCCUUAAAAAAAUUUUACAUUCUUUCCAAUAUAUAUAUAAAGGAUAUUUUUGUAAAUUUUUUUUUUUAGAAAUUAUUUAAUUUAUAUUAUUUUUAAUACAUCAAACCAAAUACUGCAUAAGAAAAAUACAAGCAUAACUAAUGUAAGCAUAACUAACACAAACAUUAGUAAUAUAAGUAUUAUUAAUACAUCAUAUUUUGCAUCAUUCUUAUACACUCUACCAAACGACCCCUAAGUGUAUGUAGUCCAAAUCACUAUUUUAAAGGUGGGACCAAAAAGUUGCUUUAAGGAUCUAAACUAAUUUGCAUAGGAUCUAGUUUACUAUUUUAAAGGUGGGACCGAAAAGUUGCUUCAAGGAUCUAAACUAAUUUGCAUAUUACAAGGAUCUAGUUUGUAAGGCCGCACUAUUGAUAAUUUUUUUUUUUUUCAUUUUUAAAGAUAUGAGAUCUCUAGUUAAGAAUGAAGGAAUUUUAACUUUUCAAAUACCACGUUCAUAGUAGAGUUGCAGUAGCAAAAUCAAAUAUGUACGUCCUCUAGUCCAUAUUAAGUGAAGUAUUAUGACUUUUUUCACAGCUUAAUAAGGAAAUUUUAACAUAAAUUGUCAAUUACAACUGUUGAACCCUUGAGAAAGUUUACACCAAAUUAUCCUCUUUAACUAGUCCUUGUAACUAUUCAGUUCCAAGUAGAGAAAUUAUAAUACCUUCAAUUUUUUUUGUGUAAUGUCGAAGUCAGAUGAAUUUUAUUCAGGAAUUGGUGCCUGGGAAGCCUUCUUAUGGUGUUUAAGUUUAGAUGCCAUUAUACAAAGUUGCGCAAAAUAAAUUUUAUGGCCAACUUAUCAAGGUUUUUAUGCUUUCCCUGACGACCGACACCAAUUUUGUUUAACUUCUUUUAAUGGAAGUGACACUAAAUGAUCCUAUUUAUCCAAUUUUAUUGGAGUAAAAUAGUUAGCGAGUACUCAUGCAGCUAACCCAUAGUUUUCUAACUCAAUUGUAGCAUAGCCUAAGAAAUAAGAAGAUAUGAUCACAAGCCAAUACUUGACAUGUACCCCUCUUUGAGGUCCAUCACAAGAAAUGAAGAAAAUUGAAGUGCGAACAAAUAGAACACCUUUCAAGAGUAUUAAUACCGUCACAUGAAUCGUCAAUGCAUGAAUAUGAUGUACCAAGAAAUUGACGAUGGAAUAGGCAACAAAGCCACCAUGCCAUGCACUGCCACCAAAUCACCCCCAGCUGAUGGAGUUCAGAAGUAAAUAUACGGACUAGUCGAAGGGGGGUUCAACAUCUACUUACUAUAUAUACAUAAAAAUAUUUUUGACCAUAUAAAAAUAAUAUAAUUUUCCAACGAAGGGGGUUGGAAACCCCUGAAAUGUAUGUGGCUCCGCCACUGAUCACCCACCUCCCCACCCCACCCCCAAGUUAAACUGGCACCAGGUGCUAAAGCAUGGACGUUUUGUAUCCAUUGAGCAAAUAUGAAUUUGUAAUUGGUAUAGCUAUAUAUGAAAACAAAACAUAUCUUGAGGACGCCCUUUGCUUUUGUUUUGUCGUAUUGAACUAAAUAACAUUCACUUUAAGCAGAGGGUGCAAUAAGUACUUGUUUCCAAAUACAAAAGAAGAAGAAAACAAUCCUUAAUAUGUAUAGGGGAAGAUAAUUAGACAAGCAGGUUAGGGCCCGUCAAAGUGUCGAGCCAAGCCAAAAUAUAAGCAUCCACGUAAAUACAUGUGGGAGGUAUAUAUAUAUAUUAAUAGAGACCUAAAAAUUAAGUCUGCAUCCACGUAAAUACCUCCACACAAUUAACAGCUCCUCAAUUUGUUGGAAUGUUCCACGCCUCGCAAAAAGCACGAGCACUGACGAAGAAAAUAGUAAAGUGAAUUAGAUUCUUGAAACUAGCAUGACAAUAAUAAGAGUGAAAUAUAGAUGUCAAGGCAUAAUAACCUUCUUAACUGAUACAUAAGAUAUUGACAUAUAAUUAAAUGUGCAUUUCUUAAGCACAACGAAAACAAUUGCAUCAAUCACAAGCUGCAAAACAUAAGUCGAUAUCAAACCAAAAACUUAUCAAAAAUCUCUGUCCUCCUACACACGAAUACUGAAUUCCAUAAAAGCAACAGUCAUGUCUUCCGUAUUGAAAGAUACAACUCCUAGAUUCGUCCGCCAGUAGAGAAAUUAUAACACCUUUUUCAUGUAAUGUUGAAAGGAGAUGAAUUUAAUUCAGGAAUUGGCGCGAGGAAGCCUUCGUAUGAUAGUUAAGCUUAGGUGCCAUUAUAAAAA
rnacentral:lncRNA from 1 species